rnacentral:rRNA from 1 species
GACGAACGCUGGCGGCGUGCCUAAUACAUGCAAGUCGAACGCAGUGGGGACGGGUGAGUAACACGUGGGUAACCUCCCAUCAGAGGGGAUAACACUUGGAAACAGGUGCUAAACCGAUACUGAUGGAUCGAACCGCGGGGCAUUAGCUAGUUGGUGAGGUAACGGCUCACCAAGGCGACGAUGCAUAGCCGGCCUGAGAGGUUGAUCAGCCACACUGGAACUGAGACACGGCCCAGACUCCUAAGGGAGGCAGCAGUGGGGAAUAUUGCGACAUGGACGAAAGUCUGACCGAGCAACGCCGCGUGUAUGAAGAAGGCUUUCGGAUCGUAAAAUUCUUUUAUCAGAGAGGCGUUAUCUAACGAAAAAGCACCGGCUAACUCCGUGCCAGCAGCCGCGGUAAUAC